rnacentral:rRNA from 1 species
UGGCGAACGGGUGAGUAACACGUGGGUGAUCUGCCCUGCACUUCAGGAUAAGCCUGGGAAACUGGGUCUAAUACCGGAUAGGACGAUGGUUUGGAUGCCAUUGUGGAAAGUUUUUCGGUGUGGGAUGAGCUCGCGGCCUAUCAGCUUGUUGGUGGGGUAAUGGCCUACCAAGGCGUCGACGGGUAGCCGGCCUGAGAGGGUGUACGGCCACAUUGGGACUGAGAUACGGCCCAG